UGGGGAAUAUUGCACAAUGGGCGAAAGCCUGAUGCAGCGACGCCGCGUGAGGGAUGACGGCCUUCGGGUUGUAAACCUCUUUCAGCAGGGAAGAAGCGAAAGUGACGGUACCUGCAGAAGAAGCGCCGGCUAACUACGUGCCAGCAGCCGCGGUAAUACGUAGGGCGCAAGCGUUGUCCGGAAUUAUUGGGCGUAAAGAGCUCGUAGGCGGUUAGUCGCGUCUGCUGUGAAAACUCGAGGCUCAACCUCGGGCUUGCAGUGGGUACGGGCUGACUAGAGUGCGGUAGGGGUGACUGGAAUUCCUGGUGUAGCGGUGGAAUGCGCAGAUAUCAGGAGGAACACCGAUGGCGAAGGCAGGUCACUGGGCCGCAACUGACGCUGAGGAGCGAAAGCAUGGGGAGCGAACAGGAUUAGAUACCCUGGUAGUCCAUGCCGUAAACGUUGGGCACUAGGUGUGGGGUCCAUUCCACGGAUUCCGUGCCGCAGCAAACGCAUUAAGUGCCCCGCCUGGGGAGUACGGCCGCAAGGCUAAAACUCAAAGGAAUUGACGGGGUCAUAGCUGUUUCC
rnacentral:rRNA from 1 species